GGGGGCGACAGGGUUCGACGGGAACUCUGAAGCCGAAGUUGCAUGUCGAGCGUCUCAGACUGCUCGUAAAAACCACUGAGAAAACACACAACUGCCGAAACACCGGUAGCUCUAGCGGCCUAAACCCCGCUAGCGUGGCCCAGAGCAGACCUGCAGGCUCUGGCAACCACGUCAUACAGCAGGUUGGCUGCGUGCCGCACCUCAGGGUGGCGUAGCGAGAAAACACUGAGGCGUGCGCUUUCACUGGCCUGUCCGCUGGGCAGGUGCUAGCGCGAGAAUUAAUCAGCGGAACAAGCAUGUAGACGCUUCUGCGGAUGGUUUUCGGACGCGGGUUCGAUUCCCGCCGCCUCCACUG
rnacentral:tmRNA from 1 species